UCCGAGUGUCAGUCGCUUCCUGCCGAGCUCCGCCUGCUAGCAGCAGCUUAGCUCGUUAGCUCCAGGAAAACAUUCCCGACAUUUUGAGAGGCUGGUGUCGGACUAUCGCUGUGUCUCCGCCGGCAACCGUGGCUGCGUCGCUCCGGGUUUGAGUCGUUCAGGCUGCCGUGCCCGCUCCUCGUCGACUUUUUUUAUCCCGGCAAAUCUGGACUUUACUCCCGGAGCUCAGGACCGUCGACUCUCAGGUCGGCCGACGCUGCUCCAUGCCCGCGGCUCGGUGUCUCAGCUCGGUGACAUGUCCCGGAGCUCCGGGACGAAGUCUGUCUCAAUCAAAAUGUCCGACCGCAGCGCGAGGGCGCGGCCCGGAGGAUUAGAGGCGGUUUAGUGGAGGUGUGAGGCGGGCUGCUGCCGGUGUGGCUGCUCGCUGCGAAUAUGGCUGAAUCCAGGUCGGAUCAUCCUGAGUGAGCUGGAGACACUGAGCCACACUUCCGUGUGAAGGAGCAAAAACCUCAUCCGGAAGUGAGUUUGAGCUGCUCUGUGCUAACGUGAUUACCUGUCUGUCUCUCCGUGAGGAAUAGGAAGGCCCCGCCUUCCCAGACCGGAAACGCUCCAAGUAUGUGACGUCAUAUUGUGAUUGGCGUCUGUUUAAAUAACGAAACAUAAAUAUGAAUAAAAUGACAACCAUUAAUGAACGAAGCCAAGAAAAUAAAACAUUAAAACAAAUAAAUAUAAAAUAAAAAUAA